AUGCACUCCUUGCUCCUGGCCAUUGCAAUCUUUGCUAUUCUACCAUGUGUCCAGUCUGCAGUGACCUUAACCCAGCCUGGGUCAGUGCAGCUACAACCAUCAGAGACACUGCGGCUCACCUGCUCAGUUUCUGGAUUCUCCCUCACUACUCAUGGGUAUGCAGUCAGCUGGAUUCGACAGCCCCCAGGAAAAGGGCUUCAGUGGCUGAGCCUCAUCUUUUGGGAUGAUGACAAGCGCUACCUGCCCUCGUUGAAAAACCGGCUCACCAUCUCCAGGGACACAUCCAAGAGUGAGGUUUAUUUGGAGAUGAGAGGCAUGGAGGCUGGAGACACAGGCACCUAUUACUGUGCCAGAAGAGCACAGCGUGCAAAAGCCAUGGGGGACCCAGACAAAUACCAGCUGCAUUGUGAGUGA